ensembl:snRNA U6 U6 spliceosomal RNA
GCUCCCUUCAGCAGCAUAUGCACUAACAUCGGAAUGAUACAGAGAACAUUAGCAGGACCCUGUACAAACAUGAUAUGCAAAUUCAUGAGGCCUUCCAUAUUUUC